rnacentral:rRNA from 1 species
GUCUCCCCCCUCCAGUCAGUGAAACUGAUCUCUCCGUGAAGAAGCGGAGAUACGCAUAUAAGACGAGAAGACCCCAUGGAGCUUUAAACCCAACAACACCCGCCUCCCUUAAACCCUAUUAUCAGCCCGGCGAUUGUUUGCUUGGUUUUAGGUUGGGGUGACCACGGAGUACAAAACAUCCUCCAUGAAAAAAAGCUAACUGCCCUUAUUAGAGAAAGACAUUUCCAAAAAAUAACAAAUUAAUUUUUAAUGACCCGAUAUUCGAUCAACGAACCAAGUUACCCUGGGGAUAACAGCGCAAUCCGCCCCGAGAGCCCCUAUCGACAGGCGGGUUUACGACC